GUUCUCAGCUCUUCGGUUCCUUUUCUUUUGAUUAGUGAUUACAUAUUAACUCUGCUCUUAUGUUUAUAAUGCAAUGUCUUCCAUGGUAGAUCAUUCUACCGAGCUUUUCUUCUUACAAGUCAAAUCAGACCAAUUCUGCAAAAAGCUUAACCUCUGUCAAGAAGUGACGGCCCUUGCUUCAGACUGUCACCAAACUCAAGGAUCCUGAGACAAAGGAAACUCCGCAUAUCUCUCAAGGUAUCCAGUCGCUAAACAAUUACCAGGAAAAGGUAGCUAACUAUAGAAUGCCCGCAAAGCUCAAAGUGCCUCAAACAUAUUAAUGAUUUUCUUAGCUGCUUCGAUAACCCAUUUCUGCCAUCUCCUGUGGUACUUUU